GAUGAACGCUGGCGGCGUGCCUAAUACAUGCAAGUCGAGCGAACAGACGAGGAGCUUGCUCCUCUGACGUUAGCGGCGGACGGGUGAGUAACACGUGGAUAACCUACCUAUAAGACUGGGAUAACUUCGGGAAACCGGAGCUAAUACCGGAUAAUAUAUUGAACCGCAUGGUUCAAUAGUGAAAGACGGUUUUGCUGUCACUUAUAGAUGGAUCCGCGCCGCAUUAGCUAGUUGGUAAGGUAACGGAUUACCAAGGCGACGAUGCGUAGCCGACCUGAGAGGAUGAUCGGCCACACUAGAACUGAGACACGGUCCAGACUCCUACGGGAGGCAGCAGUAGGGAAUCUUCCGCAAUGGGCGAAAGCCUGACGGAGCAACGCCGCGUGAGUGAUGAAGGUCUUCGGAUCGUAAAACUCUGUUAUUAGGGAAGAACAAAUGUGUAAGUAACUAUGCACGUCUUGACGGUACCUAAUCAGAAAGCCACGGCUAACUACGUG
rnacentral:rRNA from 1 species